ACACGCAUGACACACUGCAUAUCAAUAAGCGGAGGAAAAGAAACUAACAAGGAUUCCCUUAGUAACGGCGAGUGAAGCGGGAAGAGCUCAAAUUUGAAAUCUUCAAGGUUCUACCUUGACGAAUUGUAGUUUAAAGAAGUGUUUUCUGUUGAAGUUUUGGUAAAAGUUCUUUGGAAUAGGACAUCAUAGAGGGUGAGAAUCCCGUAUUUGGUCAUUCUUUCUAGCUUUGUGAUACACUUUCAACGAGUCGGAUUGUUUGGGAAUGCAGUCCAAAAUGGGUGGUAAAUUUCAUCUAAAGCUAAAUAUUGGCGAGAGACCGAUAGCGAACAAGUACCGUGAGGGAAAGAUGAAAAGAACUUUGAAAAGAGAGUUAAACAGUACGUGAAAUUGUCAAAAGGGAAGCGUUUGACACCAGUGUUGUUUUUCCGAAAAUCAAUUACGAAUGUUUUGUUUUUAAGAAGUUAUGACUUCAUCGGCUUGCUUCUUUCUUUACGAAACUUUCUUAAUGCACUUUUCGGUUAACAAGUCAACAUCAAUUUCUUUUGUUGUAAAAGGGUAUGAGGAAGGUGGCUUUCUUUUCGGAGAAAGUGUUUAUAGCCUUUUACCUCUGCAAUCGGAGAGAUUGAGGACAGCAGCGUAGACUCCUUCGGGGGUUAGAUACACUUGUGCUAAGCUAUAGCCCUGUAUAGACAACUUGUUGACUAUGCUCAGUCAUGUAGCUUACUCGCUUGUGCUAUUUUACCUACGCUUAGGAUGUUGAGCGCAUGUCUCCUCU
rnacentral:rRNA from 1 species